AAGAGUGAAGAGGAGCAGAAACAGACAUGAGCUAAAAGCCUGUCCUGCCCCUUGUUCCAUAUUCCAGGUGCUCUCCAAGUCCUUGGCAAGCUGUUUAGGUAGCAGGCUCUGUAAUGGCUUUGAAAGUAACUGGGCAGUGAUGCAGGGAGAGUGAAGAGACUUGCCAGACAGAAAAGGCGGUAAGGAGACCCUUUCCUAUCACACUUUCAAAGGGUCAGGUAUCGAGGCAGCUAUUUGCAGGUAACAAGCAUCCUCAGACAGUGAUGGAAGAGAAAAGCCAUUCAUGGAUGGUGGUGUGUCUGAAUUGGAAGAUGCCUCCCCAUCCCUGCCACACUUUGAGUGAUACUGGGGGAAAUGGAAGCCCAGAGAGGCAAAGCAACUUAUCCGAAGGCACACAGCAAAUACACUGACAGGAAAUGCCCUGGAUGAGGAUUUCACUGGUUGACUGACCAUUUCAAUGGCUUUGCAGCUUUUGAAGAUUUGCUGCUGCCCGCAUCCUAUCUGAUUUCUACAGUAGCUUUCUGGGGUUGCUGGAAAGGACGGUGAAUCCCAUGUGACUAGUGAGAAAGCUGAGGUCUAGGGAUGGACAGUGAUUUCUUCAAAGUUACAAAGCAAGUCAGCAGCAGCAUGAUCUGUAAAUACAAAACUGUAAACCUAAA